CCCUUAGAUGUUCUGGGCCGCACGCGCGCUACACUGAUGCAUUCAACGAGUUCCUACCUUGGCCGAGAGGCCUGGGCAAUCUUUUGAACUUGCAUCGUGAUAGGGAUAGAUUAUUGCAAUUAUUAAUCUUGAACGAGGAAUUCCUAGUAAACGCAGAUCAUCAAUCUGCAUUGAUUACGUCCCUGCCCUUUGCACACACCGCCCGUCGCACCUACCGAUUGAAUGGUCCGGUGAAGCCUCGGGAUUGUGGUUAGUUUCCUUCAUUGGAAGUUAGCCGCGAGAACUUGUCUAAACCUUAUCAUUUAGAGGAAGGUGAAGUCGUAACA
rnacentral:rRNA from 1 species